rnacentral:rRNA from 1 species
UACAGAGGGUGCAAGCGUUAAUCGGAAUUACUGGGCGUAAAGCGUGCGCAGGCGGUUUUGUAAGUCUGUCGUGAAAUCCCCGGGCUCAACCUGGGAAUUGCGAUGGAGACUGCAAGGCUAGAAUCUGGCAGAGGGGGGUAGAAUUCCACGUGUAGCAGUGAAAUGCGUAGAGAUGUGGAGGAACACCGAUGGCGAAGGCAAUCCCCUGGGCCUGCACUGACGCUCAUGCACGAAAGCGUGGGGAGCAAACAGG